rnacentral:misc_RNA from 1 species
AUGAACUUGACACUAUAAAUUCGAACAUUAUGAGGAUUGCUGGUGUGCAUCACUGGAAACAUGGGAGAAAAGGCUCUGGUGUCUUCUGGCUACAGCAAGCUCGAGAUGAAUUUCGUUUAAACAGAAUUGCCAAGCAAUUAUUUGAUUUCGUGGGGAAGUCUGUAUCUGAUGAAGGAUUCAAGCAAUGGGAGGGUCUCAUAGAGUUGCUGGGUUCUGAGUCUAGAACUGCUGGUGGACUUGAGUUUCUGAACAAGUACAGGGACUUUAGGAGAUCCCUAUUGCAGGUUCACGGUGAUACACCCACUGAUGCAGCUCGUAAUGCAGCUGAAGCUCUCGUCUCUCUCAUGAAAAAUCCUUCCACGCCGCAACGCUUUUGGUUACCUCUUCUAUAUGAUUCAUUGAAAUUGUUAAUGUGGCAGGAGCGACCGUUGGUUAAUGUUUCUCAAACUCAGCUUCUGUUGAAUAAACUGCAAGAAUUGUCCAUGGCAAGAUUGCGGCCAGACUUUGUUGAAGCUGACUUG